CCUACGGGUGGCAGCAGUGGGGAAUAUUGCACAAUGGGCGCAAGCCUGAUGCAGCCAUGCCGCGUGUGUGAAGAAGGCCUUCGGGUUGUAAAGCACUUUCAGCGGGGAGGAAGGCGGUGAGGUUAAUAACCUCAUCGAUUGACGUUACCCGCAGAAGAAGCACCGGCUAACUCCGUGCCAGCAGCCGCGGUAAUACGGAGGGUGCAAGCGUUAAUCGGAAUUACUGGGCGUAAAGCGCACGCAGGCGGUCUGUCAAGUCGGAUGUGAAAUCCCCGGGCUCAACCUGGGAACUGCAUUCGAAACUGGCAGGCUAGAGUCUUGUAGAGGGGGGUAGAAUUCCAGGUGUAGCGGUGAAAUGCGUAGAGAUCUGGAGGAAUACCGGUGGCGAAGGCGGCCCCCUGGACAAAGACUGACGCUCAGGUGCGAAAGCGUGGGGAGCAAACAGGAUUAGAUACUAGUAGUC
rnacentral:rRNA from 1 species